AAGCGGCAACAGCUCAAAUUUGAAAUCUGGCGCAAGCCCGAGUUGUAAUUUGUAGAGGAUGCUUCUGGGUAGCGACCGGUCUAAGUUCCUUGGAACAGGACGUCAUAGAGGGUGAGAAUCCCGUAUGUGACCGGCCCGCACCCUUUACGUAGCUCCUUCGACGAGUCGAGUUGUUUGGGAAUGCAGCUCUAAAUGGGAGGUAAAUUUCUUCUAAAGCUAAAUACCGGCCAGAGACCGAUAGCGCACAAGUAGAGUGAUCGAAAGAUGAAAAGUACUUUGGAAAGAGAGUUAAAAAGCACGUGAAAUUGUUGAAAGGGAAGCGCCUGCAACCAGACUUCGCGGCAGUGUUCCGCCGGUCUUCUGACCGGUUUAUUCUCUGUCGCGAGGCCAUCAUCGUCUGGGCCCGCCGGAUAAGACCUUAGGAAUGUAGCUCACCUUCGGGGGAGUGUUAUAGCUUAUGGUGAUGCGGCGAGGCUUGGGCGAGGUCCGCGCUUCGGCAAGGAUGAUGGCGUAAUGGUUGUCAGCGGCCCGUCUUGAAACACGGACCAAGGAGUCUAACAUCUAUGCGAGUGUUCGGGUGUCAAACCCCUACGCGUAAUGAAAGUGAACGGAGGUGGGAACCGCAAGGUGCACCAUCGACCGAUCCUGAUGUCCUCGGAUGGAUUUGAGUAAGAGCAUAGCUGUUGGGACCCGAAAGAUGGUGAACUAUGCCUGAAUAGGGUGAAGCCAGAGGAAACUCUGGUGGA
rnacentral:rRNA from 1 species